rnacentral:lncRNA from 1 species
UGUCGGCAAACCACGUGGCCGGGAAGGGCAUGAAAUGAAGGCCCUAGCUAGCCAAGAUGAACACGCAUGCAUCAUAACGAAUAUUUGGCAUGUAACAUCCGAGAAGAAGAUUCCACAUAAUAUAAAUAUAAAUGGUGGUCCACCGAACUCAUCAUCUCCUCCACAAUUGGUGGUGAGGCUAGGCGGGCCUAAACCAUAUAGGUAGGUUGGUU